rnacentral:sRNA from 1 species
GCCGGGUGCAGUGGCGCACACCUGUAAUCCCAGCAGCUCAGGAGGCUGAGGCAGGAGGAUUGCGAGUUCAAAGCCAGCCUCAG